rnacentral:rRNA from 1 species
CUUGACAAACUAUAAGAGGUCCAGCCUGCCCAGUGACGUAGUUAAACGGCCGCGGUAUCCUGACCGUGCGAAGGUAGCAUAAUCAUUUGUUCUUUAAAUAGGGACUAGUAUCAACGGCAUCACGAGGGUUAUACUGUCUCCUCUCUCCAAUCAGUGAAACUGAUCUCCCCGUGAAGAAGCGGGGAUAAAUCUAUAAGACGAGAAGACCCCAUGGAGCUUUAAACUCAACAACAAUUUCCUUUUAAGACAUUCCACAUAAUUAUGGAAGUACUGUUUGUUAGUUUUGGGUUGGGGUGACCGCGGAGAAAAAUUAAACCUCCACGACGAAUGGAAUUAAAUCCUAAUCUAAGAGCCACCACUCUAAGAAUCAAUAAAUUGACAUAAUCUGAUCCGAUAAUCGAUCAACGGACCA